rnacentral:rRNA from 1 species
GACGAACGCUGGCGGCGUGCUUAACACAUGCAAGUCGAACGGAAAGGCCCUGCUUUUGUGGGGUGCUCGAGUGGCGAACGGGUGAGUAACACGUGGGUAACCUGCCCUUGACUUUGGGAUAACUUCAGGAAACUGGGGCUAAUACCGGAUAGGAGCUCCUGCUGCAUGGUGGGGGUUGGAAAGUUUCGGCGGUUGGGGAUGGACUCGCGGCUUAUCAGCUUGUUGGUGGGGUAGUGGCUUACCAAGGCUUAGACGGGUAGCCGGCCUGAGAGGGUGACCGGCCACAUUGGGACUGAGAUACGGCCCAGACUCCUACGGGAGGCAGCAGUGGGGAAUAUUGCACAAUGGGCGGAAGCCUGAUGCAGCAACGCCGCGUGCGGGAUGACGGCCUUCGGGUUGUAAACCGCUUUCGCCUGUGACGAAGCGUGAGUGACGGUAAUGGGUAAAGAAGCACCGGCUAACUACGUG